rnacentral:lncRNA from 1 species
CUGAGGGCCCUGGCUGACCUGCUGGCCCAUUCACCUGAACAAGGUUCACCCAGGGCAGUUUCCACAAAUCCGGAGCAGAGCCAGAGAGCCAGCCCAUGCCUGGCACAGAGGAGACGCUCAACACCUGUCAUCCCUUCCCUUCUCCUGCCUGUCCCUCAGAGUUCCUGGAGCUUCCGUUCUGCUGAGCCUCAUGCUGCCCAUGCGACACAUCACGACCAUUUUCAGGACCACAACCUCCCUGUCCCAUGGCCGUUUUCUGAGGUCUAGAAGUCACCCCCUUGGGCUUAAGCAACCACGAGGCCAUGGAUGGUCACAAAUUUCCCUGGGCUGCACUCCACAAACCCUCCAGUGGGCACAGCACGUGUCUCUCACAUUUUGGAGAGAAAGGAACUGAGAACUCCCAUUUCUGGAACCCCAUGCCAGUUCUAGAAGGUUCCAUCCUGAAGAUGAAAGCUGAUUUGUCAUCUGUGGUGUGUCCCAAGAAAAGAAAAAUACCUCAUUUUGUACUGAGCACUAACUACACACCAGGUGCCUAUUGAAGCCUCUGAGGUACAGUCAUGGGAGAGAUGCUGCCUCUUCCCCAAAGGCACAAUAGCACCGAUAUUUGAAGAGUCAGUGAUAGACGAUUUCAUCAGAAGGUUCUGGCAACAGAAACUACCAAACGACUUAUUUUAAAAACAAAACAAAAUGGAAAAUAUUAAAAUCCAAUCAGCUCAUUGAUCACCAGGGAGAAAGAAAAUGAACAUGUGUCUCUUGUACUCAGCCUGCUCUAAAAUAUGAAACUGGAAUGUGUUUCAGAAAGCAACAAAGAUGUGAGUAUGGAAUAUUAAAGCACUAUGAUAAUUUGAUAGUACAAUUUUCCUUUGUGGAUUUCCUGUAGUGACCAAUAUUAAUAUAAUAGGAGUGAACAUCUACUGGGUACUUAUUACAUAUUAGCAUUUUCUAUGGUAUUUUAUUAGGUUACAGAACAACCCAAUGAGGAAAGUACUACUCUUGUCAGCCCUGUUUCAUAGACUAGGAACAGAGGAACCGUGAUUCACCCAAAGUUUUGAGUGAUUCACCCAAAGUUUUGUGGCUAAUAAAACUCCAUUCCAGCCCAGGCGCAGUGGCUCAUGCCUGUAAUCCCAACACUUCGGGAGGCCGAGGCAGGCAGAUCACUUGAGGUCAGGAGUUCAAGACCAGCCUGGCCAACAUGGAGAAACCCUGUCUCUACUAAAAACAUAAAAAUUAGCCAGAUAUGGUGGCAUGUGCCUGUAACCCUAGCUACUCAGGAGGCUAAGGCGUGAAAAUGGCUUGAACCCAGGAGGCAGAGGUUGCAGUAAGCUGAGAUUGUGCCACUGCACUCUAGCCUAGAUGACAGAGUGAGACUACAUCUCAGAAACAAAAAACAAACAAAAACUCCAUUCCAGCCUGGGCGCCUCUCUCCAGGCCCUCACUUCCAACCCAGAACACACUAGAUUCCAGAGGGAAACCCAGUCGCCAGCCUGAAGCUGGCAUUCAGGUUGCCCUUCUCAGGGAACUCAAAGGGUGACGCAGGAAUUUUCUCUGUUUUGCUUGUUUUGAGUCAGGGCCUCUGUCGCCCAGGCCAGAAUGCAGUAGCAAGAUCAUGGGCUCACUGCAGCCUUGACCUUCCUGGGGUCUAGCGAUCCUUCCACCUCAGGCUCCCAAAUAGGUGGGACUACAGGCAUUCCACUACACCCGGCUAAUUUUUGUAUUUUUGGUAGAAACAGGAUUUCACCAUGUUGCCCAGUCUGGUCUUGAACUCCUGGGCUCAAGAGAUCCUCCCACCUCAGCCUCCCACAGUGCUGGCAUUACAGGUUUGAGCCACUGUGCCUGGCCAGUGCAGGCAUUUUCUCCUUGGCCCUUAUCAGCUUGGUGGAGCUAAGAGCAUUAUUUUCUCCUGAUGAAGAGCUAAGCCUCUGGGCAGAAGUUGAGCAGCCCAGGCAAGGUCAAGAAGGGAAUGAAUGGUAGACUUUCUGGUCUCAGGCUGCAAAUUCCUUCUGUCUAAUCGAACUACCCCAAAAGGCACAAAAAGAAAACAAAAAUGUACCCUCUUGCUCCAAAACCAUUCUCCUGGCUUUCUCAGCCCUUUAUGGGACAUCUCAGCCCUUUAUGUAUUUUUGUUCUUAUUUUUUUGAGACAGGGUCUUGCUCUGUUGCGCAGGCUGGUGUAUAGUGGUGCCAUCAUAGCUCACUGCAGCCUCGAAGUCCUGGGCUCAUACAAUCCUCCCACCUCAGCCUCCUGAGUAGCUGAGACUACAGGCACACACCAUCAUAAGCUGCUAAUUUUUAAAAUUUUUUUGUAGAGAUAGGGUCUUGUGGUAUAGCCCAGGCUGGUCUCAAACUCCUGGUAUAAAGUGAUACUUCUGCUUUGGUCUCCCAAAGUGUUGAGAUUACAGGUGUAAGCCACUGUACCUUGCCUCAUCUCAGUCCUUUAAAGAUGCACCGGAGGCUCUGCUAGUCAUUAGAAACCAGUGCAUAUAGUGUGUGUGUGUUUGUUUAUGUGUGUGUAUGUGUUUUGUAAGGGUGACAGAGUUGGCGAGUGAGGGCAACAACCAAGGAAUUCAAUCAACUCAAUAGAGAAAAACAUUACAUCACUGACAAUGUAGCAGCAGGGCCAGGUGGUGGCUCUUGCCUAUAAUCCCAGCACAUUGGGAGGCCGAGACGGGUGGAUUGCUUGAGCCUAGGAGUUUGAGACCAGUCUGGGCAACAUGGCGAAACCCCGUCUCUACUAAAAACACAGAAAUUAGCCAGGCAUGGUGGUGCAAGCCUAUAAUCCCAGCUAUUCAGGAGGCUGAGGCAGGAGAAUUGCUUGAACCUGGAAGGCAGAGGUUGCAGUGAGCCAAGAUCAUGCCACUACACUCCAACAUAGGUGACAGAGUGAGACUCAGUCAAAAAAGAAAGAAAGAAAGAGAGAGAAAGACGGAAGGAAGGAGAAAGAAAGAAAGAAAAGAGAAAGAAAGAAAGAGAAAGGAAGGAAGGAAGAAAGAAAGAAAGAAAGAAAGAAAGAGUAGCAGUAAACAUGAGACUAGUUGCCAUAGCAACCAUUUAAUUGACAUUUUCAUUUUCCCAGCAUUUGUUCUGGGCAGGUGUGGGCAGACAUGUGUCCUCAGGGAUGUGCAAGGAUGAGGGUGUGUCUGUUUCCCCCAUUAGUCUUCAUAAUUGAAGGGGUUGGUACUGCUCCUAGACAAGGCCUUGGGAAUCGGGACUUUAACAGUGCACAGAAAACCCCGUCUGAGAACAUCCACAGCAGGCAGAGCCAACCUCACCGUGUAAAGGCAGUGGAGGUGAUGGUGAACUUGCUUGCUGCGUGGAUGGGAUGCUGAGGCUCAAGUGGAGGGCCAUACAGAUUGGCCUUGGCAGAGCGCAGCCCAGACCCAGGUCCGCUAACUCCUGGUGGGCCACACUGGCUUGAAGCCACACUGGCUUGCUGAACCAGGGUCAAGUAGCCGGGGUUAGGGGAAAAAAUAUAAGACGAGGAAGAAGCAUAGCACAGCUUAAAUCCAUCGAGAGUGCAGAAUCACCUUUCAUCUUCUGAAGGAGCAAUUGUUUUCUGUACCAAACCACACAAUGCAAGCAAAUCUGCUGCCAAAGAACAAAGAGAAAAAUGCAGGGAACAAGCAGCUUCCCAAGCCUCGCAGCCGGGGAUGGAAUUAAAUUCAAAUUCACCUGCAAGAGCAGCUGAUGGUUCAGCUACAAACCGCCUCCAAGCAGCCUCUGAGAUUCAAAAUUCAUGCGCCCUGCGAACUACACAGCAUAUACUAGUGGCAGCCCUGGCUGGGUCCUCGCAGCCACGCAAUUUUUGAGGAUGACACACAUGGAAUACUAAACAUAUCCCGGGAGUUCCAGACACAGCCACCUAGUUACAGCCCAGCCUGCUCUUGUCUGCAGCAAUUUUUCUCAAAGGUGCGGCUUCAUGCAUAUCUAUUACCAAGCACACGUAGACAAGACGGUGUUCGGAAAGCACAGCCCCGAGUGGGAAACAGGAGCUGUCAGCAAAUCAUUUUCACAGGAACAGGAAAAUCUUUACGUGGAAAAUAUUGCUUUGGGACUUCCCCGGGAGGAAAGAACGAGCUGAAAUUGAUGGUGUUGCAGCUUCCAUUUUCCAAAAAGCAAAAUGCUUUUAAGACCAUCAGGGUUACGCUUGAUCAUAGCUUUGCUUAAUCCAUUUCUUCACGGGUUUUGCCCUUGUCAUCUUUGCUUCCUGAACCACUCCUGCACCUUACAGUCACCGCAAAUCCCAUCCCAUAAAAAUCUGUGGCGUCUCUGUGUGUGGAAAUCAAACAACAAAAAGGCACCGCCAUGUGUAGCUGCGUUACGCUUUCGGUGGAAAGAUGACAUGGAUGAAAUGGCCCCUGGGAAACACUGGGGAGGCCUGACUAGCAAGGUGCAGAGUGGGGGAUUAAUGGGGAGAUACACAGGGCCUCUUACUAAAACUGAGAAUAGCAUUCUGUUGAAGAACCCUUAUUUUGAGGCUGGGCACAGUGGCUCACGCCUGUAACAUCAGCACUUGGGGAGGCCGAAGUGGGAGGAUUACUUGAGGCCAGGAGGUCAAGGCUGCAGUGAGUUAUGAUCAAGCCACUGCACUUCAGCCUGAGUGACAGAGGGAGACCCUGUCUCUAAAAAAAUUAAAAAGAAACCAUAUUUGGGGUGAUGAUAUCCAUCCCCUAAAAUAAUAAAGAUUAGCUGGGCACAGUGACUCAAGCUUGUAAUCCCAGCACUUUGGGGAGGCCAAGGCGGGAGGAUCCCUUGAGCUCAGGAGUUCAAGACUAGCCUGGGCAACAUGGGGAGACCCCAUCUCUACAAAAAGGAAAAAAAAAUUCCAGGCAUGGUGGUGCACACCUGUGGUCCCAGCUACUUGGGAGGCUAAAGUGGGAGGAUCACUUGGGAUUGGGAGGUGGAGGCUACGGUGAGCCAUGAUCAUCCCACUGCACUCCAGCCUCGGUGACAGAGCAAGACCAUGUCUCAAUAAUGAUAAUAAUAAUAAAAAGAUUAUUUAUAAAUGUCUCUGUAACUGAAACACCCCCUCAAAAAAAUCCUGUAAAUUGGAGACCUUACCUAUCAUCGUUCCCUUCAUUUUAUUUUAAAUUUCAUUGAAAUUUAUCCUAAAGCACUUCCUGUGACUUGAAAAUGCAGGCAUUUUGGCUAACAUUAUUAUUCAUUUCUUUACAUUUGAAUGUAAUAAACGUGUCAGGUUUAUUUAUCUGAACUUAAAUCUAAGUUUUAGUGAUUUUUUCCCCCCUGGAUCUAAAAUUCCAUCAUUCUUGAGCAACUCAUAUUUGUCAAUUUGACAGCUUCUCCACUAUUUUAAGCACUUUCCUUUUCAUCACCAUCCAUU